ACCACUCAGAGGCUGAGAAAAUCAAACGCGUAAUCAGCCCAAUGAGAUUUUACGCGUGUGUCUUGAGUUGUGUGUCAGCGGUACAGGCCAAUCGGCACAGCACUACAGGGCCGUGCAGAGAAACUAUCAGGAAAUGGCAGCUCCGCUCUAGCGGUCUUCCUGCAAACCUUUAUACAGCAGGUUUUUGCAUGUUUGGCAGUUUUUUCUGAUCGCUAGUUUUCUACUGGCUUUCACUGACUGUGCGAUUUAUUGGCGUCUUAUAGCGGCGGCGUGCUCCCGAAGAAGCCUGAAUGCGUCACAGCUUCUGGAGCAGUUAUUUCCGAGUGGUUCUUUUUUUUGAGGAAGACUGCGUGGAUUGAGUUGAGGGGCUCUAUCUACCUAAACCCCCCCCCCAAAGAAGUCAGAGGAUAGGGGUCACUCGUGUGUCUAUCAUUUGAGCCAUUCGGAGAGCAAGUGCUCAUUCACCUGGGCUUCUGUUUGCUAUAGGUGGAUACUUCUCUGCACAGCCUAUAAUUGAGUCAUCAAUGAGCAAGCGGGGAGCCAGAGCAGACGCAGCUAAAUUGUUAAUGACCGUUGGCUGCACAUUGAUCACCGCGGGACUCUGUCUGAGUUGCCUAACACUGAUGAGGUGUUGGACAGUGGUAGAGAUCGUUCCCCAGAUGGCCGUUGAGUCCGUCCUGGAGGAGAGGCUCUUAAAUACCAGCUUGGUUUGGAUGGAGACCACUCGACCGGCACACACAUUUAUCUACUCCAACAUCUCCCUGGAGGAGUCUGAAAAGGCUGGAGAGAUUGCAAUAAUACCUCUAACAAAGGUAAGGUGACAUUUUCUUGGCAAAAAAAGUGUAAUACUCAGCAACUGUAAUAUCUGGGGCUGUCAGUGAAUUUUAGAAUAUAAACCAAGUGAUUGUGUUUUUCAUUGUCAUGUUUUAUGUUGUUUUUUUUAUUCAAUUUUACUUGUAUAGCACUUUAACAAUAGACCUUGUCAGCAGCUUUCCAAAAAGCUGGAUGCAGAUUUCGAUCGCUAAUGAGCAAUUCAGAGGCACUUGUAACAGCAGGAGAUUCACACUUGAAAGCAUUGAGGUUGGCAUGAGGUUGGUUUUUCUCUGCAUUGCUCAUCUUGAUUCAUUUCCUUCAUCUGUAUUAUGGACUAAUAUACUUUUAAUAACAGAAAACAAGAGAUGAAUGUAUUAAACAAACUGAACAGGGACAGAAGAGAAAAUAAAAAGAACUUGCUUUCUGAUAAUGUGGCAGACUCGUAUGAUAACCCUUUACCCUUUUAGAGUAAACUCUCUAGUGUGUACAAUGUUUAGCAUUGCUAAUGCAACUCAAGUGUGAUAAAUCCUUCUUUUCUUGUGUUUUGCCUGCGGCCUGAACGCAGGAGGCUCGCAGGCAGGCAAGGACACGAGUCACACAUGAAUUAUGUAUGAAUAAAUAUUUUCAAGCACACUCCUGCAUCCCUGUGCAAGUCUCAGCUUGAUUGAGCUAUAGUAACAAUGUAAUGGGUAUUAAUUUGUCCAUUCCAAACAGUUAGCAUCAGAGCAGGGAGUAUAGUGGAACUGUGAGGAGAGUCCUCAAACAGCUGGGAAUGGGGGUGUUUGUUUUGGUCUCCAAUUUUUACAUUUUGAGAAAAUUAGAAUUAUAAAUUCUUCUGGGGAGAAUAAAAAUGCAGACUAAAUGGAACCUAUAAAAUGCUGGCACUUAUUUCAAAGUGUAUUUGUGAGCUCAGAGGUGCAAAUGGUUCAGUCUAGCCAUGAACAGUGAUUCAUCAUUUAAAUGCAGCUAAUCACACCUGACAAAGCAGUGCUAAUGCUGUUAUUCAUUUCACCAAGAAAACAAAUUUGUAGUGUCUAUAAGAAGAGACUGAAAGCAAAGUAAAAGAAAACGAAAUGGCUGUUGUCAACUGCAAAGAGCACAUUUGGGCUUUUUAACAUACCUGCAAUAUAGAUACCCAUCUUCUUAUUUGGACAUAAUAUGAGCAUUUACAGUAAGGAGCAGUGAGACAUGAAACCAACCAGAAUUUAAAGCAAAUGGAUUAAGCAGUAUCAAGCAGUUCAUGUUUGGAGCAUCAUGGAUUCCACAAGAUGUUGGAAACAUUCCUUUGAGAUUCUGGUCCAUGUUGACAUGAUUGCAUCACACAAUUCCUGCAGAUUUCAGGUAUACAUUCAAGCUGUGAAUCUCCCGUUCUACCACAUCCCAAAGAUAUUCUAUUGGAUUCAGAUCUGGUGACUGGGAAGACCACUGAAGAACACUGAACUGAUUGUCAUAUUCAUGAAACCAGUUUGAAGUGACUUUUGCUUUGUGAUAUGGUGCAUUAUCAUGCUGAAGUAGCCAUUAGAAGAUGGGUAAAUUGUGGCCAUGAAGGGAUGCACAUGGUCAACAACAAUACAAUUCAAGUGAUGAAUGAUUGAUCACUGGAUAUUUUUUCUUUAUUGCACCAUUCUGAGUAAAGUUAUAGAAAUACUCAAAACAGCCCGUCUGGCACCA